rnacentral:rRNA from 1 species
CCAGACUCCUACGGGAGGCAGCAGUGGGGGAUAUUGCACAAUGGGCGAAAGCCUGAUGCAGCGACGCCGCGUGAGGGAAGACGGUCUUCGGAUUGUAAACCUCUGUCUUUGGGGAAGAAAAUGACGGUACCCAAAGAGGAAGCUCCGGCUAACUACGUGCCAGCAGCCGCGGUAAUACGGAGGAUGCGAGCGUUAUCCGGUUUUAUUGGGUUUAAAGGGGGCGCAGGCGGCCUGUUAAGUCAGCGGUAAAACCCGGGGCCCCACCCCGGGCGAGCCGUUGAAACUGGCGGGCUGGAGUUGGAGAGAAGUACGUGGAAUGCGCGGUGUAGCGGUGAAAUGCUUAGAUAUCGCGCAGAACCCCGAUUGCGAAGGCAGCGUACCGGCUCCACACUGACGCUGAGGCACGAAAGCGUGGGUAUCGAACAGGAUUAGAUACCCGAGUA